rnacentral:rRNA from 1 species
GACGAACGCUGGCGGCGUGCUUAACACAUGCCAGUCGAACGGGCCCGCUCUCUUUUUUGGGGGUGGGUUGAGUGGCGAACGGGUGAGUAUCACGUGAGUAACCUGCCCCCUGCUCCUGGAUAACUGCUUGAAAGGGCGGCUAAUACGGGGUGUGCCGGCUGGUCCGCAUGGGCCUGGUCGGGAUAGUUUCAUCUUCGGGUGUUUCGGUGGGGGAUGGGCUCGCGGCCUAUCAGCUUGUUGGUGGGGUGAUGGCCCACCAAGGCGGUGACGGGUAGCCGGCCUGAGAGGGUGGGCGGCCACACUGGGACUGAGACACGGCCCAGACUCCUGCGGGAGGCAGCAGUGGGGGGUAUUGCACAAUGGGCGGAAGCCUGAUGCAGCGACGUCGCGUGAGGGAUGGAGGCCGUCGGGUGGGGAACCUCUUUCUCCGGUGGUGAAGGCCCUGUCCGUUGCGGCGGGGUUGACGGUAGCCGGGUAUGAAGCGCCGGCUAACUACGUG